CUCCGUUUUUUUGUACUCUAAAUGUAAAGCAAGUUUGCCUGUUGUGCCAAACUUCAUAGCACCAAGAAAUACUAUAGUUCCUGAGUUUCUUUUCUUCCAAGCUGGAAAACUCCUGGGAUAGUUUUUUAUAUUUCAUAGCUGACUAUAAAUAGCUGUCACAUAGCUGUCAUUUAUAUUCCCUUCAGGAGACUCUUUAAGAAAGGCAAUUAAAGCAUGAAACUGCAGCAGUACCUGAUGUCUGUGACUCAAAGCUUUUGUGUGAACUUAAAAUGCCUUUGACUUCCAUCUGCCAUGGACUAGGGUCAGCCUUGCUGGUCAGGAGACGUUACAUCUGUGCCUGUGGACCCGCAGAGGAGAACUGCAGGGAUGUGGGAUGCCAGGCAGAUUACAGCGAGCGACCAUUCCCCUGCACAUGGCCCGACUGCCUUAAAAAGUUCUCCCGCUCUGAUGAGCUCACCCGGCACUACCGAACCCACACCGGCGAGAAACAGUUUCGAUGCCCCCUCUGUGAGAAGCGGUUCAUGCGGAGUGACCACCUGACAAAGCACGCCCGCCGCCACACCGAGUUUCACCCCAGCAUGAUCAAGCGAUCCAAAAAGUCCAGCUCCGGCAGCUCCUUGUGAAGGCAGGGCUGGCCCGGGGAGGGGGGCAGGGGGAGGUGAGGAUGCAGGCAGUGGCGCUGGAGCAUGAGCAUCCACUGCGGUGCCGGUCACCCUCACUGUCCAAAAGCACAUGUAGCCGAUGUUCCAAAAAAAAAAAAAAUACUCUGUGCCCCCUCUCCCCGUCCUCCACCUCCCCACCUUGCGCUGGGAACAGUGGUCUGGAGCAAGUGGACUGCGGGGUGAGAGGAGGGAAGGGAUGGCCAGCAGAGGAGGCAAUCACCUCCUCUAAUGUAAAGCAUUGAUGCUGGUGUACAUAUGUCUGACUGGAAAGUCUGGCCUGUGCCACCACAGUAGCGUGACCCCAAAGUCUUUGUGAUUGUUGUUUCAUGAACAUGUUUUGUUGAACCGUGUAAUGCUGCUUGUAUUUAGAGUUUGUUGAGUAAAACCGCUUUCUGAGUCACAUAAAUAACUCUCAGAUAAAAACUCCAUAGCACAUUGUAGAAGUGGGUUUACUUCUGUCUCAGAAUGAUUCUGCAUUUAAAGAGACUGUUAAGAGAAACUUUACAUAUGUUACUAAUAGCAUCUGAUUGAUAUACUGCGAUAAGAUGAAUUUAUAUUCAAGAAGACCCAUUAAAGUAAAUGGGUCUUUUUAAUUUUUCUUUGUAUUAACUAUACUUUUGAAUAUAAGCUGCACUUUUCCAGUAAAGACAUGUAUAAUUCAAGAGGAUACUUAAAGCAAGAAAACCCUGCAAGUUUUCUGACCAUAGGUGUAUUUAGCUCUGUUAUUCUCUUACCUGGGAAAAUACAAGUCAGCCUAGAUAGUGUGGUGGGGAUAUGGGAGCAGAAGCAUAUGUCUCUCAGUCAAUCCUAUUCUUUUACUUUAUCAAUAAAUACAGUACUGUACUAUAGAAUCUAUGCCACUAACAGUGCUUUAUUCUCCUGUGUUUUGUUUGAAUGGAUGCAUAACAAGAGCUACCAUCUUUAUAAACAGCUGCUUUUUUAAAGGCUUUUUCUCUUCCUACACUUGCCUUAAAGAUUUAUUCUCUUCAUACCCUUGCCUAACUUCUGCAGAGUCCUGUGGGAGUUUUAUGUGCUAUGGAGAGAGUAGACCUUUCCUUAAGAGCACUCUGCUAAUGGAAACAGCUGAAAUUAUUGUAAGGAGCACUUCGGACAGGCUCCUGUAUCUCUUGAUCACUGUUUCUGUAGAGUGUGGGGGAAUACCAUGAGCUAAUCAGAAAUUCAGCAUGGAAGGUGUUUUGUAAUACUCCUUACAACAUAAGCUUCUCUUGUUAAUCUGUUGUACCUGUGUCAUGCAUGGCACGUCAAACACUGACAAAGGCAAUAUUACAUUUAUUUUAAAGAUAUUUCUUGCUCUUUGAGAGGAGCAAAAAUAUCACUGAAGGAAAACUUUUAAGUCAUGGUCUUAAAAGCAUGAACUGUAAGAGGUUAUCAGUGAUUUUUUCUUUUCCCUCCCCAUCAACAUAAAGUGGGGAGAAUUCUGUUUACAUGUUAUUUUUUUCGGAAACAUUCUUCUCCUGUUUUGUUUUUACCCCUUCUUCUUCUGGAGGUGCAGCCCUACUAUAGAGACUUAGGGCCAAAUUCAUCUUGUGAGUAGUCACACUCAAACCCAAAGUGUUUCCACUGCAGAUGAAUUUAGGUCAUCUUGUAAAAUUCUGUACAUAUAAAAUCUUGUCAGUACACAUGCAAUUACAGUACCUUAUUGUUUUACCUGAUAAAAAGCUUUGCUUCCUAGAAAUGAACAUAAAAAAAAUGAACUCAGAGAGUAGAGUGUUUUCUUCUACAGUUGUAUAAGGCUUUCAGCAUUAGAAAUCAGUUUGCAUAUAGUGUUUUUACCUGUGUAGUUCAUGAUAAAUUCCGUCUAUGUGAAGAGAACUGCUUUUAAGGCAAUGGGGAUAUUGAGCAGUCUGUGGAAUAAAAGGGAUGUGUUUUCUUCAGUGAAAACAUCAGGAAACCAAGCACACUUUCUACCUCUGUUUCAGCUUUUUGAAACAUUUAUUUUAGAAACCAAACUUUAAUUUCUGGUGUCCAAAUUCAGUCGUAGGGACAUACGUUCUUCCUAAUAAAAAUGGGUAGCCUUGGUAUUUCUAUGGAUAUAGAAAUACAGAAAGUGUUCUGCUUACCAGUACUGUUAAUGCUGCCUUGUUGAGUGGGGUUCAGGGCCACGUGUAGCCCAGUGAGAUUCAAAGGCACAUGCACAUUCAUUUUCAUUCUUUGUGAAGAUCACGCAAAAUUUCAAGUCCAUCCUACAGUCUGGAUUUUUGCCAUUUUGUAGGACAAAUGCAGCACUUGGAAUUAAGGCCUGAUCCUGUGAAAUACAAGACAUCCUCACAUCCUAUCAACAACCAUCCUUUCAGCCACAGCUGAUAAGCAGCUCCUAAAUCAGUACAGAGAUGUGUUGGUCACUUAGCUACCAGGAUUAACCGAUACACGGAAGUCAAUGGCCAGAUUUAUGGUUUCCACCUUGUGUAUUUGGGGUAGAAUGCACAUUUAAGGAAACAUUGUCGUUCCUGCAGUCUGUAAAAACCAGCAGGCAGGGUGUACUUUCAUCUGUGGGACAAUGGGAUGUACAGGCACAUGUUGUCAUUGUGACAAGAUCCUGUUUCUGAAAAAAACCUUCCUAAAUGGUAAUCCAUUUGCCCUAACAUAUACUGUAUUUCAGCAACAAAGGGGAUUAAUGCUAUUCACUAGCCACUAACAGAAUACUUUGGGAAUAAUCAGGUUUGGAGAUUUUGUUUCAUUGUUUUUUUCAUUUGGGGGUUUUGGGGUUUUUCUUUUAGUAAAAGAAAAUGAUUGCUCUAACACAUAAAACAAACUGCAGGUUAGUUCUUUGCAUCUUGAAGUUAAGUUUUGAAGAAUGUUGCAAGUGUUGGAAAAG